UACAGAGGGAGCAAGCGUUGUUCGGAAUUACUGGGCGUAAAGGGCGCGUAGGCGGUCCGAUAAGUCCCGUGUGAAAUCCCUCGGCUCAACUGAGGAACUGCACGGGAAACUGACGGGCUUGAGUUCGGGAGAGGGAAGCGGAAUUCCGGGUGUUAGCGGUGAAAUGCGUAGAUAUCCGGAGGAACACCGGUGGCGAAGGCGGCUUCCUGGACCGACACUGACGCUGAGGCGCGAAAGCUAGGGGAGCAAACGGG
rnacentral:rRNA from 1 species